UCACUGCAACCUCUGCCUCCUGGUUUCAAGUGAUUCUCCUGCCUCAGCCUCCCUAAGUAGCUGGGACUACAGGUGCAUGCCAUGACACCCAGCUAAUUAUUUAUUUAUUUUUGGUAUUUUUUAGUAGAGGCAAGGUUUCACCAUGUUGUCCAGGCUGGUCUCAAACUCUUCACCUCAGGUGAUCUGCCCAACUUGGCCUCCCAAAGUGUUAGGAUUACAGGUGUGAGCCACGUGAAAUAUUUAAAUAAAACACCCAUGGAGUGUUCCUUAGAAGCUGACCAGGGGAUUCUGGUUCUGUUGGGCCACUAGUGUUGGUUUCACAGAGGUGGCAAGGCUCUGUCACUUUCUUUCUCCAUCUCUCCUGUUCACUCUGCCCUCCGCUUUCUUUUCUUUCUUUUGAGACGGAGUUUCGCUCUUGUUACCCAGGCUGGAGUGCAAUGGCGUGAUCUCGGCUCACUGCAACCUCCGCCUUCUGGGUUCAGGCAAUUCUCCCAUCUCAGCCUCCUGAGUAGCUGGGAUUACAGGCACGUGCCACUGUGCCCAGCUAAUUUUUGUAUUUUUAGUAGAGACAGGGUUUCACCAUGUUGACCAGGAUGGUCUCGAUCUCUUGACCUUGUGAUCCACCUGCCUCGGCCUCCCAAAGUGCUGGGAUUACAGGCUUCAGCCACCGUGCCCAGCCCCUCUGCUUUCUUACUCCAUGUUCUCCACCUUCCUUUGCUCGGUGAAAAAGAAUUAGUUCACUUCAUUCAUUCAACCAUUCCCCCAUUGGCUCAUCUGUUCAUGCCUUCAUUCUGAGUGCUGCAUUUAAGUGCCAUGGACACUGCAGUGAACAAGACGGGUGCUGCCCUCACAGAGGGUGUGGUCUGGGAGGUGAGACAACAGUUAACUGGGCAUUUACAAUGUAGCGUGGUGUGCGCUACCCUGGGGUUGAGCACAAAGGGGCCCUGGCCAGCCUUGGCCAGGUCAGGCAGGGCUUCCAGAAGGCCUGCACUAAGCCGAAGUCUGAGUCCUCAGCACUGGGGAGGCAACGAGGCAGCUAGGCAGAUGCUAGUGUCGUUGGCUCUCUGGAAUCUUUGCAUAUGGGCUGUAUGUUUUCUGUUUGGUAACUUUAAAGUGGUUAUCUGACCAUGAUAGGAAACAAGGUGGCAGAUGUGACAGGUAGAGGAAAUAAUGGCAUGCAGAAGCUGAGAGAUGAUGGUGCCUGAUUUUGAUGUAGUUAAAUCAGCAAAAGUGCAAAUGGUGAUUUGAGUGCGUGCGUGUUUUGUGUCGUGUGCGUGUGUGUGUGAGCUAUUCAUUUCUUGUUUCCUGUAAUUAAUCCAGUUUUCAUAUUCUUGUGAAUUAACAUCACUGAACUGAGACUAGAUUUUCUCCUGAACCAAAAUAAGAUACUGAAUUAAGAGUGUAAGAAUUUAAGGAAACUUUGCUUUCAAAAUCAAGACCAAUAAUAUCUCUUGCCCUUUGAUUUUUCUCUUUCUCUUGAGGAGAGCAUUAUUUUGAUAUAUUUUUUGCCAUUCAAGUAUUUAUAAAGGAUUUCUGGAAGUCGCUUUUUACCUUAAUGAGUUGAAGCAUCAUUUCUGAUCAAACUUGCUUUGCUAUCUCCUUUUCACUCCUUGCAUCUGUUUUCAUACUUAGGGAAUAUAUGAAUGCAGAGAACAGGGAAAAAAAAUCUUAGAAGGAAGUGGACUAGUGCUCCAUGAGUUACAUCAUUUAUGUGUUCCUUCUUUCCAUGAUGUGGAUUUGUUAAAAUUCAAGUGAGGCAAUUUUAACGCAAGAUGUUAUUGGGGACUUUGUUUUCCUGGCUGCUGAAUCAGAAAGAAGCCAUGCAUGACUACUCUGAUUGUUAGUACAGGUGCAAUUAUUCUUAGUCAAAAGUCUUGGUUUUCCUUUAUCUCUAAAAGGGAGAAGAAAAUGGGAAUCUGUCCUCCAGAUAUAUUAUGAAAAACGAUGAAAACAGUUGUUAAAAGUUAGUGAUUAAAAAUCUAAACAAUAAGAUGACUAUAAGUAACAAGAGUUCAUUGUGUAUAUUCAAAUAGCUAGAAGAGAGGACUUCAAAUAUUCCCAACACAAAUUACCCUGAUUUAUUAGCCAUCGUAGACAUGUAUUCAAAUAUCACAAUGUACCCCAUGAAUAUGUACAAUUAUGUGUCAAUUAAAAAUAAUAAAAGAAAAAAGCCCAAGCCAAUCAAUCAGGGGACAAUGCAAACUCUAAAAAAACUUCCCUGGUAAUUGGAAAAAAAUUGUUUUUGAUCUCUAGCACAUAAAAUCUGUGCAUUUCCCUUAUGUAAAUUAUACUUCAAUAAAAAUCAGUUAUAAAAAUACAAACACAAAAAAAGCUUUCAAAAAGACCCACUCCUCUUUCUGGUGUAUAGAAGAGUUUAAUUGUAAUUCAUCCUGAAAUUUUAAGGGAAUUGUUAAACAAAUGAAUUAGCUGCCUAACUAAAGCCUGCCCCAAUCCAGUGAUUUUUGAUCAUAUCACUGUUUUAUUUUCCUGAUAGCAUUUAUCAUUAUCAAAUUAUCUUGCUUAUUUGUUUCUUUAUUAUCUUUCUCCCCUAGUAUGUUGGCUUCUUGAGAUCAGAGACUUCAUCUUGGUCAUGUCUAACUCUUCCUCUUCCAGCAUGAAGCUUGGCACAUGGCAGUGCUUUCAUAAGCAUAUGCCAAAUAAAUGAAUGAAUGAAUAUUUCUAUCAGCACUUCCUUAGGCUUUUUUACACACACACACACACACACACACACACACACACACACACAUAUUUGCUAUUAUACAAUCAAGAUUGCUUAAGUAAUUCAGGUUCAGGGACUGAAAAAAAAUUGAAUUGUCAUAGGCUUAAGGAUCAGGAGCCCAGAGCCCAGUGACAUUUGUGUAUUAAUUUUGGUUAGACGUUGGAUUGCACUUACUGUCAAUUUGUCAUGUGAAAAUGCAACGUUAGUUUUUAUGACAUACUAAUAGCUCCGGAGAGUUGUAAUUAAAUAGAAGCAAUUUUUGUGAGAUAUCAGUAUUAGGUCUGGAAAUAACAGAUGAAUGGAUAAAGAAAACAGAAGAGAGUACACUGGGAGUCUGACGCAACAUAGGCUAUUACAUUUAUGGAAAUGGAAGUAAGUGACAUUUGAGGGAUUAAAAAGAUCUUUCACAAGUAUUUUUUUUAAAUCCACACAAGUGGAUUUGGCUUACUGGAACCCUGAUCACAUUAUAGAAUAAUACUUUAACUCCAUCAUAGGGGAAGGGCAAGUUUUUUCAUCAUGCAUACUUAGUGGAACUGAAAGCUGUUUUAGCAACGUGCUCUUAUGUGGUAUUAGGCCACUUUCUUUGGAAAAAUUCAAAGUGCUUUUCAACAAAAUUUCAGAAUUACUCCUCACAUUCCAAGGAGAAGAUGGUGACAUUGUAUAAUUCAAAAAAUGAGAAACCAAGACCCAGGAGAGCCUGUCUCAAAAUCAGGAUGGGGUUCCAGAGAAUCUGCUAGAAUAUAAUAUGAGCCUUAUAAUUCUCAGCUGUCUCCCCAGAUUUUCUCAGUUGUUUGAUCCAGUUGCUUUCCAAGUGGCAAAGAACCUAUUUGAUCAACAUGCCUUUUUCAUUCAUCAAGGUAAAUUCUAAAUUUUGCUUCAUGUGCGCUGAAUGGAAUCAAACAAGAAACACUUGAGAAGCCUAAAAUCAUAAUUGAGAAUCGGAUCUUCCCAUCACUGAGGGAAAUGACUGUGAUGAACACCUAACAGUAUGGCAGUCAGAGAAUGAGAUGGAAUGAAUGGAGGCACUGAAGCAACAGAGAUGACACAAAGCAGGUCAAGACCUGAGAACAUGCUGUUCAAGUGGUGGCUGCAGCUUGUUCUCCCUCAGCCUGGGCUCCCUGGGGCAACGCAGACCCAAGAGUUUCACUCUUAUUGCCCAUGCUGGAGUGCAAUGGUACUGCAACCUCCGCCUCCCAGUUUCAACUGAUUCUCCUGCCACAGCCUUCCAAGUAGUUGGGACUACAGGCGCAUGCCACCACACCCGGCUAAUUUUUUGAAUUUUUAGUAUAGACAGGGUUUCACCGUGUUAGCCAGGAUGGUCUCGAUCUCCUGAUCUUGUGAUCCACCUGCCUUGGCCUCCCAAAUGGCUGGGAUUACAGGUGUGAACCACUGUACCCGGCUAUUGUGGGUUUUUAUCUGAAUUAUCAAAUUACUUUUCAGAAAUGUACCAAUUUUACUCACAUCAGCAGAGGGAGAGUAAGUAUUUCAUUGUUCUUUCUCCUCAUCUCAGGCGUUCACAUACCUAAAUAUGUUUGCCCCAAAGCACCUCCACUGGUGCCGCAUUGCUUCUGUUCAAAAUUCUUUGAUUAUUAAUGAGGAAGAAUUCUUUUCUUGUUUCUUGGCUUUUGAAACAGCUGACGUCUGAGAAUGAAUAUGUCCUUUACACAUUUUACUCUUUUUAUUGAUUUAUGUAACCUCCUUCAGAGUGGCAGUUUCAAUCUUUUAUCUGCCAUGUCUGCUACAAAUGUUUCCCCUCAUUUGCUUACUUUUUAACUGUGUUCUUUUUUAUUUGAAACUCAGAGAUUCUAAUAUUUUUUCUUUGUGAUUUCUUUUAUUUUGCCUAUGUUUAAAGUCCAUCUCCACUCCCAAAAUCAAAUUCAUCUGAUUUAUUUUGACAACAUAAAUAAAUCCUGUCAAUUCACCGGAGCACAAGAGAUAUUUGAAGUAAUAAACUCAUUUUAAUUUUGAAUUGUAUUUUUUGUUUACGCUAUUUUAAAAAGAAAGAAAGGAGAAGACAAGAAAAGAGGGCAGAUUGAAAAGGCAAACAUCAGUACUGCCAGGAUCUAAGAGUGUUUGGGGGAUCCAAGGCUCUGUGUAGAAGCAGAAGCCAGCAGUGACUUACCUCUGCCCUGGCAGUUACUUCUGGGUUUCAGGUUAGCAUUCUGACCAGUCUGGAAAAUAGCUAGAGGCCUGGAUUUGCUGUCAACAGCCGCAGUGCAAGUUAUAACUGAAACGGGAACCUCUCCUAUCUCACCUGACCAUCACAGGGGUUAAGUGCCUGGGAAUCCAGUGAUGAAAUGAAGAGGGAUUUUUGAAAGAAAUCACAAAGAAGUAAGUGGGGGAAAGACUGGGAAGCCUGGACUCCUGACUUUUCCUUCUCCUCCACUCCUUCCCUUCCCUACUCGACAUCCUGCCCCCAGGACCUGGAUAUUGAUUUACAAGGAGUGGAGAAAGGACAUUUUUUAAAAUUUCUACUCAACCAAGUUUUUGUCUAAAUCGAACCACACUGCCGUUUUUCUCUUUCCAUCCUUGAAACUCAGAUUUGUGCAAAAAGGGGUAGGUAGAAUAUAGUAAAGACCAAACCAGAUAAAACAGGUUUUAGUCUGGUGGAGUCUUCUCAUUUCAGGUUUGUGUCUGGAAUUAGAGCUUUAAAAAUUGCCCCAAAAGAACAGUAGUUGUCUCUAUUAUGAUUAAUCAAACUCUCAGACCGAGAGUCCAAAGGCUACUCCUAUUGGCUCACCGGGGAACAAUGAAGUUAUUAUGUGAUAAACAUAUUCAAUGAACGAUGAAAAUGAUUUUUCAUACAUUGGCUAUGGCAGCAUAAUUUGGACAAAAGAGUGCUAGAUAAGCAGCCAGAAAGUUCUAGAAUCAAUUAUACCCACUAUGUGACCUCUUGAAAACCAAUUUGCCUCUUUGAGGCUUAGUUUCCUAAUCCAUAUAACUAUCUACACACAGAAUAGAGAUCUGCAAAGAAGCAGGGAGGGCUGGGGGAGAUACACAGGGUGCUAAUUAGAGGAAUGAAAAUGAUUUCUUCAUGUCACUUUUCGUGUUCUGAAAUGCCCAAGGUUUCGUCAUUGCCCUUACAGUAAAAUAAAAUUGUCUUCCAAAAUUUGUAGCAAUCCAGCUCAAUCUUAUCUUGCCUCCUACAAGCGAUAAAAAAAGGCCAGGGCAGGUUAGAUUUGAGUAUGCAUCCUGGUCUUGCUAUUUACUGUGCCACCACGGGCUCAUUAUUGAACUUUUCAGAGCCUUUAUUUCCAGCUAUACGAAUAGGGAUGACAAUGCGUCUUUCCUGCAGAUCUGCCGCAAGGGCUGUUUCUGCUUAUGAUCUGCCUUGCUGUUAUCUGCAAACUCCACUGCUCUAGCUCAAAUCCCACAUGAAACCUUUUUCCUGAGGUCUUUACUGACCUCCCAUAUAGCCCCUAUGUGUGCCAAAAAUUUUUGUAGAUCAAAAUAAUUUAAACUGAGAGUUACCUGAAUCUUUCUAGUGUGGCCUGCCUUGAUAACAGGGAACUACUGCUUUCUCGACUCUUCCAACACCCUUGUUUUUUUUUGCAUUAUACACACUUUCUACUUAUCUCUAUUGUUGCAAUUGCAGUAUUGCCUGAGCGUUAUCCGUGACAGUCAUCACAUGGGUCAUCUCUUGAUUAUUGAACCAGAAUUGUAAUCAUGUUGUAGUUGAGAAAAGAAAGAAGAUCUGAUAAAGACUGAUUUUAAAAAUACAAUAGUAAUUUAAAAAUAGCAACAAAACUAAAUCAGGGCAGAAGACCCGGGCAAGAUAAGAACUUACUGAUCAACAGACAGUGUAGAUGUACACUGGUAAAUGUACCAGGUAAAUACACCAACCAUGAGUUUCUUCUGGGUCAUACUGCUCUAAAGCAAUGAAGGAAAAUGAGCAAGUAGGGGAAGAGAAAUCAGAUUCGGAAAGACCUUGUGAUUUCUUGAGUAAAUUGUUAUGGAUACGGCGCCCCCUAGUGCACCGAACAACACAGGUGCCCCAGUGUGCAGGAGCUGAGAGCUCCGGAGCUGAGCAAUCUCAUCAUCCCCGUCCCCAACCUUACUUGAAACACCUGCGAUUUCUGUUUCACCAUUGCUUUCCUUUCCACUGCACAAGCAACUGUAGGCCAGGGAAGAAAGGCAGACAGAUGUCCUUUAUUUAGUUGGAUAUAAGCGCUGAUUCUCAUGGAAGUCGUGAAUUAAUUCGAGGUACUCAAAUAAUAUUAAAAAGUAUAAAAAAAAGUUACUGUGAAAAGAGUUUCUACUUUUUCCUGAGAUAGAGGAAUGUAAUUAGGAGAAUAAGCAAAACUGAAAGAUGAUUCCUUGUUAUUUUCUAAAAAUGUUAUUUGUCCCCAUCUUCUUUUUAUCAAAAUGUUCAUCAUCUGAUGCAAACAUAUUUUCUUCAAGCAGGAUACAUGGACCAAAACUGAACCAAAGCAGAAGGAAAGCAGCUUUUUAAAUGAGAAAAAAUGGAAUGUAAUGAUUUGCAUUAAAGCAUUCUUUCUCAAAGUGUAAUCUCCGGAACACUAGUUCCACAGGAUAUUAAUGGAUCUUAUGCAAAUAAGGGUUUCAUGGCAAAUCGUUUUGAGAAAUUUGGAAUUCAACAAAGAUAAACUAAUGUUUUAACAUUCUUCAGAAGGCAUGCAUCCUCAGUAUGCUCUGAAUAUCCCACCAUACUGUGUAAAACAGCACUAUGAACUGCAGCACUUCCAAAAUCAUUUAACACAAUAGUUUCCUUUUCAUGCCUAUCUCACACACUUGGUUGAUGAAUUAUCCUUUGGGAAUAUGCAUUGGACCAGAAUUUCAUCAGUUUCCAACACAUAGGAAAGUGUGCCGAAAGGAGAAGAAAAUAGUAAAUUUGAUACAUGCAAAACUUAAGGUGACUAUAAGCAAGUUUGUGGUCAGUGUCAUAACUCUCUUCUGCAUUUGAAAGAUCAGUAAUACAAUACAUUAAGUUUCAACAUGGCAGUCCUAUGGGAGUAAGAAGAAUCAACCAUGCUGAAAACAUCACCAGCCCGCAAGAUUAUUGCCAGAUUUCUCUCACGUCACAGCAGUGCUCUACUUCUGAGAAUGAGAAAUGACCCUCCAAGAAGUUUAGUACCUCCGUCCUGCCAGGUUUCCAUCUUUUACUAAGACUUUUCUUUGUGCACAACCUGUACUAAUACUCAUGGAUGUUUUAGGCUCCUUAUUACUAUUAGUCAUGGGAUCACAGAUACACACGGUUCUUUAAAGAAGUUAGAGGAAGUCUGUAUUUCGUACAAGCUGUGAAUUAGAGAUGAAUCUGGUAACUCACAGCUAGACAAACUCAUCCCAAAGAAUGAUUGAGAAAAAUGGAACUCCACAGAGUGGUUCAUCUUGAAUGAUGGCACAGUAAACAUAACAGUGGAAACCAGGCCAGGAGGAAGGGACCGAUGGUUCUUCAGGACAGGUCCUUGCUGCAUUUGCUGUAUCUCAUGUCAGGAGGAUGUGCUUGCUCCUGGCAGCUCAGUUCACAUUCAGAAGUGCUACUGUCCAUGGACUUAUAGUAUGUUAGGCAACACCACUUGCAGACAUGAAGGAGUGGGGACUUCAGGUGACCUGGAAUGGUUAUAUGUAAUGCUGUGGCCUCUGGCUGGGGAUGUAGUGUUUUGGGGCCAGAACAAAUCUUUCAUCAGCUUAGGAAAGGUUGUGGCUCUCAGUCUUUUAGCAUUUAGGGGCCAAGGGUGGGAUAUGGUUCAUCCCAGAAGCAGCUCUUGGUUUUCAGUAGAUGUUCUAUUUUCUCUCUAAUGUUUUCCAGCUGAGUUGAUUUCAGACAGAUGGAGGUCAAAUGAUUUAUUCUGACGCCCAGUGAAACAGAGCAUCUGGGACUUGAACUUGGGGACUUGACGGGUGGGCAGCUUGCACCCUAGUCAGUCAACUGCUCUCCUCCCAGGUUUUCAGCGCCUCUCUGGUUGCACCUUGAAGGCAGCCUGCUGAGUCUGGCAGGGCCCGUCCCCUGGGGCGUCACCGCUGGAAUAAGAGACCCGAAGAGGCCUGUGACAGGUCAAGUCUGAAUGCUCUGGCAGAGCGGUGCAGGGCAGACUGCUCCACGCCUGCUCAAAGCACACAGCGUCUGGUGAAAGCCAGAUUGAAGAUAGCUAAAUGCUCAUGCCAAGAUUCCAAAAGGAAAAACUUAGCUCACAAUUUUCCUUUGCAUGGUGAUUUUUCAUCCUUUCCUUUUUCUUUCUGUAAAAAGGGAAUCCCCGUGUUUACAAGUUGAAAUCCAAAAUGCACAAGUGGUCAGUCCACAAUUCUGUGACCCAUGAACAUCUGUGGGCCUGGGUGUUCCUUGGGAAUCUGCAGUGUUCAGAGCAGCGAGCCAAGCCUGCCCUAGCAGAAGGGAAUUCUCCAGUGAGUCGAACAGGCCUGCAAGUGCCUGGGGUCUGGUCUCCUCUGGUUCUGCUUUCCUGGGACAUGCCUGUGCUUGACUUCCACUAGUUUUAUGAACUGCAUUUUGACUAUAUUUUUGGAGGUGGGUUCAUCACUCCUUACAGGAAGUAGGACAUGGAUCUUCAUUUUUCCUUUAAGAGAAAUAAAACUCUGUAAUCUGAGAUGGGCAAGCAUGCCCCAAGUCUGUUUACCAAGGAACAAGAACCUCUCUGUGUCCUUUAAGCAGACAGAAAAAUCAAGAAUAAAAUAUUUAUUUGGCAUUUGUCUCUGAGGACUUAAGUGACUGAAAACCAAUAGGGCCUCCCCUCCUUCUGUGGAAAGGUGAGUCCCAUAGUCCUGUGUCCCCCAGGAGAGCCCCACAGAGAGGCUGCUCCUCCGUGGCAGGUGGUAGUGGGUGUGGCUGAAAGUGCCUCAUCACUUUCAUUCUGGAUCCUAGGUGGGUAGAUGGGCUUUGGUUGUACCAUCUUUUUAAAUUUUUAAUUUGGUAGAUGCUCAAAAGUUAAGGGAACCCUCAAAGGGCAAAGUUAGCAUGUGACAUAUUUGUGUCUCCUCUCUGGACCUUGGUUUCCUUAUCUGUAAAAUAAGGGAAUGGACCAGAUCACUGUUCCAGAGCCCAGUGCAACUCCAGGAGUCUGUACUUUGAGGCUUGCUUCUCUCCUAGUAGGAGUUCAGCUCCUCUGCCCUAACUUUUCUGCUGUAAUCUGGGUGUUAUGAGCUGAUUGUGUGCUCCACCUCAAAAAUCCAAUUACUAAGGUCUUAACCAAGUAUCUCAGAAUGUAACCACUUUUGGACAUAGGGUCUGUAUUAGUCUGUUUUCACACUGCUAAUAAAGACAUACCCAAGACUGGGUAAUUUAUAAAGGAAGGAGGUUUAAUUGACUCACUGUUCAGCAUGGCUGGAGAGGCCUCAGGAAACUUACAAUCAUGGCAGAAGGGGAAGCAAACAUGUCCUUCGUCACACAGAAGCAUCAAGGAGAAGUGCCAAACAAAAUGAGGAAAAGCCCUCAUAAAACCAUUGGAUCUCGUGAGAACUCACUAUCACAAGAACAGCAUGGGGGUAACUACCUCCCACUGGGUCCCUUUCACAACACGUGGGGAUUAUGGGAACUAUAACUCAAGAUGAGAUUUGGGUGGGGACACAGCAUAACCAUAUCAGGGUCUCAAAUGAGGUCAUUAAAUUAAAAUGAGGUCAUUUAAUGAGGCCUAAUCCAAUAUGAUUGCUGUCCUUAGAAGAGAUCAAGACACAGACAGGAAUGGGGGAGACCAUGGGAGGUCGCAGGUAGAAGGUAACCUCUGCAAACCCAAUAGAAUGGCCUCAGGAGGAACCUACCCUGCCAGCACUUCGAUCUUGGACUUCCAGCCUCCAGAACUGUGGGACAAUAAAUAUCUGUUGUUUAAGACAACCAGUCUAUAGUACUUUUUACGGCAGGCCUAGCAGACUAAUGCCACAUGAUACCACAGUGAAUGUGCUAGGCUGUGAAAGAAGUUCUGUGCGUUUUUCUUAACAGAUUCAGAUUUUUGGUUUUAGCUUAAAAUAGGUUUUUCUGUCGCAAGAUAUUUAAAACAUGAUGUUUGUUUAUUUUUUUACAAGUUUCUUUAUCAUUAGAUGUGAAAUAAGCCAUUUUAGCAAAAUAAUUCCUUUUUAUCUUUACUUGAAGGGGAUUUCACAAUUUUGACUCACAGGGCUAUUUUUUUAAAACAGCUAUGGAUUGUCAUCCUGCCUUUUAAGAAAUACUGUCAUUGUCUAUAAAAUUCAUUUAAGGCCAAAUAGCUCAUUAGAUAAACUCGCAGAUGAUGGCACAUGUAUAAAGAACUUCAGACCACAUAAGCAACCGCAGAUGCGGCAUGGUCCAGUUUCUGUUUAGUACUUUUGGCUCUAAAGUUCAUUCAGAGUGAAACAUCAUUUGAUUUGAGUUAUAGAAGGGCAAAUAAGAUGACGAAGGAAGGUUACCACUUAUCACUGUUGAAGAUUCUCAUAUUCUUACUUGAAAUAAAACAUGCUGUGACCAAAGUGGAUUUUUCCUUCCUUCAGUAUCAACAUUCUGUUUCUUUUACAAAACAGUCACAUAUAAUUGGAAUGUAGCAUCAGAUAUGUAAGAAGCAUAGAAUUUCUUUCUCUUUGUAAGUUCCAUUUGACUGCAGCAGUGAAAUUUCCCGAGAAGGGUGUUUUGAGAUCAAGACUGCUCACUUGAGAGGUUAGAGUGGCCCAGGUUAUGAGGCUCUACAAGUCUGAGAAACAGAUCAUCUUAGACACUGAGAGCUGAGGCACAUCCUACUUUUUCUACUUACCGUGAACAUGCCCCUUAGAUGCUGAAUGACAGACAAUGAUAAUUCAGAUGUAGCACCCUGACACCAAACCAACUGUGGAAAUACCAGUAAAAUCAGUUGUUUAGUUUUUAAAAUACACAACAUAAAUAAAUGACUAGUUCGUAUUUUAGCCCCCUUUUUGCUGUGACAUAAUUACAAGAAUGAAAAUUUAUUUUUUAAAAUACAUUUUUUCAAAAUCCCAUCUUGAGGAAAAAAAGCUUGGCCAAUUAAGAAGGCUGAAGGGAGGAACUGCAGGCACUUUUAUUUCCGGCUAUCAACAGAAUGGAAAAAAUGUCAACUUAUUUACAUUUAUUUAUUUAUAUAGGUGAUGAAUAAGUUAAGGAACGCUUCAUCUCAAACACAUAUUGCUUUUAUUUUAGCUAAGUUAAUGUUUCAGUUCCAUAUAUAUUUUUGAAUUUCCAUCAAUGCCAAACACCAUUUUUUCUUUCUUCUUAAAAAAAAAAAAAAAGAUUUACAAGCACUUUUACGGCACUCGAGAAA